GGACCCGCACAAGCGGUGGAGCAUGUUGUUUAAUUCGAAGCAACGCGAAGAACCUUACCCACACUUGACAUCCUUCUUGGGACUUUCAGAGAUGAUUGUCUUCGGUUCGGCCGGGGAAGUGACAGGUGCUGCAUGGCUGUCGUCAGCUCGUGUCGUGAGAUGUUCGGUUAAGUCCGGUAACGAGCGCAACCCUUAUCGUAUGUUGCCAUCAUUAAGUUGGGCACUCGUGCGAGACUGCCGGUGACAAGCCGGAGGAAGGUGGGGACGACGUCAAGUCAUCAUGGCCCUUACGUGUGGGGCUACAAACGUGCUACAAUGGGUAUGACAGUGAGCAGCCACUCCGCGAGGAGGCGCUAAUCUCUUAAAGCUUGUCUCAGUUCGGAUAGGAGUCUGCAACUCGACUCCUUGAAGUUGGAGUCGCUAGUAAUCGCAAAUC
rnacentral:rRNA from 1 species